UACGUAGGGAGCAAGCGUUGUCCGGAAUCAUUGGGCGUAAAGCGCGCGUAGGUGGCCUCAUAAGUCCGCUGUGAAAGUCCAAGGCUCAACCUUGGAAAGCCGGUGGAUACUGUGAGGCUAGAGUACGGAAGAGGCGAGUGGAAUUCCUGGUGUAGCGGUGGAAUGCGCAGAUAUCAGGAGGAACACCAAUAGCGAAGGCAGCUCGCUGGGGACGUUUACUGACACUGAGGCGCGAAAAGCGUGGGGGAGCAAACAGG
rnacentral:rRNA from 1 species